GGAGAGGUGGCAGAGCGGUUCAAUGCACCGGUUUUGAAAACCGGCGUAGUGUCAAAACUACCGAGGGUUCGAAUCCCUCCUUCUCCG
rnacentral:tRNA from 1 species